GAUGAACGCUAGCUGUAGGCUUAACACAUGCAAGUCGAGGGAAAACGGCAUUAUGUGCUUGCACAUUUUGGACGUCGACCGGCGCACGGGUGAGUUUCGCGUCUCCACUCUGCCCUUUACUUGGGGAUACCCCGUUGAAAGUCGGCCUAAUACCUGAUGUAAUUCAUUGAUGGCAUCAGAUAUGAAUAAUAGUUUUAUCGGUAAUGGAUGGGGCUGCGUCUGAUUAGCUUGUUGGUGAGGUAACGGCUCACCAAGGCGACGAUCAGUAGGGGUUCUGAGAGGAAGCUCCCCCGCAACUGAGCCGAGACACAGACCAAACUCCUAGGGAAGGGAACAGUAACGAAUGUUAGUCAAGGAGCGCAAGCGUGAACCAGCCAAGUAGCGGACGGAAAGACGGCCCUAUGAGUUGUAAACUGCUUUGGUACGAGAAUAAUGUGAGGAACGUGGGCGGUAUUGAAGGUACCGUAUGAAUAAGGACCGGCUAAUUCCGUG
rnacentral:rRNA from 1 species